CCUUCGAUAGCUCAGUUGGUAGAGCGGGGGAAUGUAGAAUUAUAAUUGUGAUCCCUAGAUCGCUGGUUCGAAUCCGGCUCGAAGGA
rnacentral:tRNA from 2 species